rnacentral:misc_RNA from 1 species
CUCGACAGUCGAUAACGCGGUUAUCGCCGACGUAAACAAAGCGCACGGCUCGCCGGCCUGGUUUCAACUCUAUCCAACAGACGAUUGGGCCGUAACACAAGCGCUGGUCAGACGCGCCGAGGCCGCUGGCUGUCCUGCUAUCGUCCUUACUGUCGAUCGGCAAGGCGGCCGUAACACUGAGGAUCUGUUCCGUAUGCGGCGUCAGGAC